rnacentral:rRNA from 1 species
GGACCACCGGUGGCGAAGGCGUCUAGCUAGAACGGAUCCGACGGUGAGGGACGAAGCCCUGGGUCGCAAACGGGAUUAGAUACCCCGGUAGUCCAGGGUGUAAACGCUGCAGACUUGGUGUUGGAGGCCCUUCGAGGGCAUUCAGUGCCGGAGAGAAGUUGUUAAGUCUGCUACUUGGGGAGUACGUCCGCAAGGAUGAAACUUAAAGGAAUUGGCGGGGGAGCACCGCAACGGGAGGAGCGUGCGGUUUAAUUGGAUUCAACACCGGAAAACUCACCAGGGGAGACUGUUACAUGAAAGCCAAGCUAAUGACUUUGCUAGAUUUUCAGAGAGGUGGUGCAUGGCCGUCGUCAGUUCGUACCGUAAGGCGUUCUCUUAAGUGAGAUAACGAACGAGACCCUCACCAAUAGUUGCUACUUUGUCCUCCGGGAUGGAGGCACACUAUUGGGACCGCUGGCGCUAAGUCAGAGGAAGGAGAGGUCAACGGUAGGUCAGUAUGCCCCGAAUCUCCUGGGCUACACGCGCGCUACAAAGGGCGGGACAAUGGGCUCCGACACCGAAAGGUGAAGGUAAUCUCGAAACCCGUCCGUAGUUCGGAUUGAGGGUUGUAACUCACCCUCAUGAAGCUGGAUUCCGUAGUAAUCGCGAAUCAACAACUCGCGGUGAAUAUGCCCCUGCUCCUUGCACACACCGCCCGUCAAACCAUCCGAGUUGGGUUUCAGUGAGGCUGCCUCUAAUUAGGGUUGUCGAACUGAGAUUUAGCAAGGAAGGUUAAGUCGUAACAAGGUAUCUGUAGGGGAACCUGCAGAUGGAUCACCUCCU